CACGUAGGGGGCAAGCGUUGUCCGGAUUUAUUGGGCGUAAAGAGCUCGUAGGCGGUUCGCUAAGUCGGGUGUGAAACCUCCAGGCUCAACCUGGAGACGCCACCUGAUACUGGUGUGACUCGAGUCCGGUAGGGGAGCGUGGAAUUCCUGGUGUAGCGGUGAAAUGCGCAGAUAUCAGGAGGAACACCGAUGGCGAAGGCAGGUCUCUGGGCCGAUACUGACGCUGAGGAGCGAAAGCGUGGGGAGCGAACAGG
rnacentral:rRNA from 1 species